AGACAACAGGGAUUGCCUCAGUAACGGCGAGUGAAGCGGCAUCAGCUCAAAUUUGAAAUCUGGCCUCACGGUCCGAGUUGUAAUUUGUAGAGAAUGCUUCGGGCGAGGUCCGGUCUAAGUUCCUUGGAACAGGACGUCAUAGAGGGUGAGAAUCCCGUAUGCGACCGGUCGCCUCCGCCCAUGUGAAGCUUCUUCGACGAGUCGAGUUGUUUGGGAAUGCAGCUCAAAAUGGGUGGUAUAUUUCAUCUAAAGCUAAAUACUGGCCAGAGACCGAUAGCGCACAAGUAGAGUGAUCGAAAGAUGAAAAGCACUUUGGAAAGAGAGUUAAACAGUACGUGAAAUUGUUGAAAGGGAAGCGCUUGCAACCAGACUUGCGCGCAGCCGAUCACCCGGUGUUCUCACCGGUGCACUCGGUUGCGCUCAGGCCAGCAUCGGUUCCGGCGGUUGGAUAAAGGCCCUGGGAAUGUAGCUCCUCUCGGGGAGUGUUAUAGCCCUGGGUGCAAUGCAGCCUGCUGGGACCGAGGACCGCGCUUCGGCUAGGAUGCUGGCGUAAUGGUUGUAAGCGACCCGUCUUGAAACACGGACCAAGGAGUCUAACAUCUAUGCGAGUGUUUGGGCGUCAAACCCAUACGCGUAAUGAAAGUGAACGGAGGUGAGAACCCUUCAGGGUGCAUCAUCGACCGAUCCUGAUGUCUUCGGAUGGAUUUGAGUAAGAGCAUAGCUGUUGGGACCCGAAAGAUGGUGAACUAUGCCUGAAUAGGGUGAAGCCAGAGGAAACUCUGGUGGAGGCUCGCAGCGGUUCUGACGUGCAAAUCGAUCGUCAAAUUUGGGUAUAGGGGCGAAAGACUAAUCGAACCCAU
rnacentral:rRNA from 1 species